CUGUGGUAAUUCUAGAGCUAAUACAUGCCACGAAGCGCCGACCUUACGGAAGGCGUGCUUUUAUUAGGAUCAAGACCAACACGGGCUUGCCCGGCUUCGUUGGUGAACUCUGGAUAACUUCGCAGAUCGCAUUGUCAUCGAACAGGCGACAUUUCUUUCAAACGUCUGACCUAUCAAUUUUCGAUGGUACGAUAUGCGCCUACCAUGGUGCUAACGGGUGACGGGGAAUCAGGGUUCGAUUCCGGAGAGGGAGCCUGAGAAAUGGCUACCACAUCCAAGGAAGGCAGCAGGCGCGCAAAUUACCCACUCUCGACACGAGGAGGUAGUGACGAAAAAUAACAAUACAGGUCUCUUUCGAGGCCCUGUAAUUGGAAUGAGUACACUUUAAAUCCUUUAACGAGGAUCUACUGGAGGGCAAGUCUGGUGCCAGCAGCCGCGGUAAUUCCAGCUCCAGUGGCGUAUAUUAAUACUGCUGCAGUUAAAAAGCUCGUAGUUGGAUCUAGGGCGUAGGCUGAGGGUCCCUCGCAAGGGGUGCACCUCUCUGACCUGGCCUCCCUCGCGGUUUGCGCUCGGUUCUCUUAAUUGAGUGCCGAGUGCUACCGGAACGUUUACUUUGAAAAAAUUGGAGUGUUCAAAGCAGGCGUAACAGCCUGAACAGCAGAGCAUGGAAUAAUGGAAUAGGACCUCGGUUCUAUUGCGUUGGUUUAAGAGUUACGAGGUAAUGAUUAAGAGGGACUGACGGGGGCAUUCGUAUUGCGGUGUGAGAGGUGAAAUUCUAGGAUCGCCGCAAGACGACCGACAGCGAAAGCAUUUGCCAAGAAUGUCUUCAUUAAUCAAGAACGAAAGUUAGAGGUUCGAAGGCGAUCAGAUACCGCCCUAGUUCUAACCAUAAACUAUGCCGACCGGCGAUUCGCCGGCGUUACUCCUUUGACACGGCAGGCA
rnacentral:rRNA from 1 species